AGGACGUUGUGUGGAGGAUGCUUGGAAACACGUCGUGAGUACUGUUUCGGCCAGCCGGUCGAAAUACGUGCUCGGAGUCUUCGUGGAUUUCAAGGGAGCCUUCGACAACGUUGAGUGGAAUGCUGCACUACGCCGCCUCCUUGAGCUGGGAUGCCGAGAAGCAAGCUUGUGGCGAAGUUUCUUCUCCGGCCGGAGUGCGAGCAUCGUCAGUAGGCAUGGAGUAGCCACUGUUCCGGUGACAAGAGGUUGCCCGCAGGGGUCCAUAAGUGGUCCGUUUAUAUGGAACAUCUUAAUGGACGUGUUGCUCCAGCGCUUAGAGCCCCUUGGUGCGCUCAGCGCGUAUGCUGACGACUUGCUCCUCCUCAUCGAAGGGAAUGCCCGAUCAGAGCUCGAACAAAAAGGAGGUGAGUUAAUGUCCAUCGUAGGCGCUUGGGGAGUUGAAGUCGGCGUUGCCGUUUCAACUAGCAAGACGGCGAUCAUGCUGCUCAAAGGCAUACUUAGACGGCCGCCAGUGGUACGGUUUGCUGGAGCAAGCCUGCCAUAUAAGCGCAAGUAUCGGUACCUAGGCAUCACGGUCGGCGAGCGGUUGAGUUUUCUCCCGCACAUCACGGGCUUGCGUGAUAAGCUGACCGGAGUCGUAGGGGCAUUGUCGCGCGUACUGCGGGUCGACUGGGGACUCAGUCCCCGCGCAAAGCGGACAAUAUAUGCCGGACUCAUGGUGCCCUGUGCACUAUUUGGUGCCUCGGUUUGGUCUGUCGUGACGACGACGCAAGUGGUUGCCAGGAGGCAUCUGCUUGCGUGCCAAAGGAUCGUCCUGAUUGGAUGCCUACCGGUAUGCCGAACAGUGUCCACCAUGGCACUGCAAGUACUAGCUGGAGCCCCCCGUUUGAUCUGGUUGCCAGACGCCUGGCAAUCAGCUUCAAGCUAAAGCGUGACUACCCGCUGGAGGAGAGCGAUUGGCUGUACGGCGAAGAUUUGGCAAAUCUUAGCUGGAAGCAGAAGAUGGCGCGACUAGACGAAGACCUGUUGUGCGAGUGGCAACGCAGAUGGGAUGAUGGUGACUCCCCAGGACGGGUGACGCACCGCUUCAUCCCGAACGCAGGCUUCGUCUACAGCGAACGAAGGUUUGGCUUCACGCUGCGCGCUGGGUUCCUGCUGACGGGCCACGGAUCGCUCAAUGCAUUUCUGCAUGGAAGAAGCCUUAGCGACACGCCAGCAUGUCUAUGCGGCGCAGAACGCGAGGAUUGGCAGCACUUCCUAUGUGCUUGUCCCCUCUAUACAGACUUGCGAGACCUCGAUGGACUUGGAGUGCAGUACACGGAUGGCGACUGGACCUUCUCCGAUGUGACGGCUUCUCAGGAGAGAAUGCGGACUCUCGACAGGUUCGCCGGACUGGCGUUCUCCAGGCGACAGCAGCUGCUGAAUGCGCAAGCGGCGCACGGGCUGGGUGGAUUCCCUAUCCAGGCCGGUCGGGGCUAAAAGGGAGGAUCGAGCUGAGUCCUUAAGAUCGGUACCACGGGUUGUGCAGUUCCAAGGCUGCACAUUGAGGUCGGCCCCCUAGUGGGAGUAUCGUGGUGGCUGUGGUUGAUACCCAAACGUUACGCGGGGAGAGCCGCUAGGCUCCUCGUGGAGUUGCGCUCUCAACCGGGUGCCGAGACCCAUAGAUCGGAAGACGUGUUAGAUACACCUCGCCCCUCACCAAGGGGGAUUGUAUGCCCGACCAGGAUACUUUCAAUUGGUACCAGAAGAGUCGCUAUGUACAUAGCUAUAGCUUCUUUUUAGGGGCGCUAACUGGCGCAUUGUACCAGGUUCCUGCGUAUGUAGCGGUGGUGCGUGAUGGCGUGAUAUAUGUAAAUAUAUCGCACUAAUCGAGGCUAAGCUGCAGAUAAACAUUAGACGCCGUGGUUGAAAUCCCUCCCUGAGGAACCGCCACGUAAAAUAAAGCUGAGAGAUCAGAUUCAUUCUGUCCCUAUCUACUAUCUAGCGAAACCACAGCCAAGGGAACGGGCUUGGAAUAAUUAGCGGGGAAAGAAGACCCUUUUGAGCUUGACUCUAAUCUGGCAGUGUAAGGAGACAUAAGAGGUGUAGCAUAAGUGGGAGAUAUUAGAUUUCGGUUUGGUAUCGACAAUGAAAUACCACUACUCUUAUUGUUUCCUUACUUACUUGAUUAAAUGGAACGUGUAUCAUUUCCUAGCCAUUAUACGGAUAUAUUUAUUAUAUCUUAUGGUAUUGGGUUUUGAUGCAAGCUUCUUGAUCAAAGUAUCACGAGUUUGUUAUAUAAUCGCAAACAAAUUCUUUAAUGAGAAAAUGCAUUUAUGUAUUUUCAAUUUGAAAAUUUGGUAUAACUCCAAUUACUCAGGUAUGAUCCAAUUCAAGGACAUUGCCAGGUAGGGAGUUUGACUGGGGCGGUACAUCUCUCAAAUAAUAACGGAGGUGUCCAAGGCCAGCUCAGUGCGGACAGAAACCACACAUAGAGCAAAAGGGCAAAUGCUGACUUGAUCUCGGUGUUCAGUACACACAGGGACAGCAAAAGCUCGGCCUAUCGAUCCUUUUGGUUUAAAGAGUUUUUAACAAGAGGUGUCAGAAAAGUUACCAUAGGGAUAACUGGCUUGUGGCGGCCAAGCGUUCAUAGCGACGUCGCUUUUUGAUCCUUCGAUGUCGGCUCUUCCUAUCAUUGUGAAGCAAAAUUCACCAAGCGUUGGAUUGUUCACCCAUGCAAGGGAACGUGAGCUGGGUUUAGACCGUCGUGAGACAGGUUAGUUUUACCCUACUAAUGACAAAACGUUGUUGCGACAGCAUUCCUGCGUAGUACGAGAGGAACCGCAGGUACGGACCAAUGGCACAAUACUUGUUCGAGCGAACAGUGGUAUGACGCUACGUCCGUUGGAUUAUGCCUGAACGCCUCUAAGGUCGUAUCCGUGCUGGACUGCAAUGAUAAAUAAGGGGCAAUUUGCAUUGUAUGGCUUCUAAACCAUUAAAAGUUUAUAAUUUAUUUUAUAAACGACAAUGGAUGUGAUGCCAAUGUAAUUUGUAACAUAGUAAAUUGGGAGGAUCAUCGAUCACCUGAUGCCGCGCUAGUUGCAUAUAAAAACAUUAUUUAAUACAAUGACAAAGCC
rnacentral:rRNA from 1 species